UACGUAGGGUGCAAGCGUUAAUCGGAAUUACUGGGCGUAAAGCGUGCGCAGGCGGUUCGCUAAGACAGAUGUGAAAUCCCCGGGCUCAACCUGGGAACUGCAUUUGUGACUGUAGAGCUGGAGUACGGCAGAGGGGGAUGGAAUUCCGCGUGUAGCAGUGAAAUGCGUAGAUAUGCGGAGGAACACCGAUGGCGAAGGCAAUCCCCUGGGCCUGUACUGACGCUCAUGCACGAAAGCGUGGGGAGCAAACAGG
rnacentral:rRNA from 1 species